GAAUUUAGCAGAGAUGCUUUAGUGCCUUCGGGAACUCUGAGACAGGUGCUGCAUGGCUGUCGUCAGCUCGUGUUGUGAAAUGUUGGGUUAAGUCCCGNAACGAGCGCAACCCUUAUCCUUUGUUGCCAGCACGUAAUGGUGGGAACUCAAAGGAGACUGCCGGUGAUAAACCGGAGGAAGGUGGGGAUGACGUCAAGUCAUCAUGGCCCUUACGAGUAGGGCUACACACGUGCUACAAUGGCGCAUACAAAGAGAAGCGACCUCGCGAGAGCAAGCGGACCUCAUAAAGUGCGUCGUAGUCCGGAUUGGAGUCUGCAACUCGACUCCAUGAAGUCGGAAUCGCUAGUAAUCGUAAAUCAGAAUGUUACGGUGAAUACGUUCCCGGGCCUUGUACACACCGCCCGUCACACCAUGGGAGUGGGUUGCAAAAGAAGUAGACAGCUUAACCUUCGGGAGGGCGUUUACCACUUUGUGAUUCAUGACUGGGGUGAAGUCGUAACAAGGUAAGCGUAGUGCU
rnacentral:rRNA from 1 species